AUACUGGUGUUUUUUAACACCACCCAUUCUGAAAGAAACCAAAACG
rfam:Phytophthora ramorum strain Pr102 Scaffold2 genomic scaffold, whole genome shotgun sequence.